rnacentral:rRNA from 1 species
UAAGGAAUAUUGGACAAUGGUCGCAAGACUGAUCCAGCCAUGCCGCGUGCAGGAAGACGGCCCUAUGGGUUGUAAACUGCUUUUGUACCAGAGAAAACCUAUCUACGUGUAGAUAGCUGAUAGUAUGGUAAGAAUAAGCAUCGGCUAACUUCGUGCCAGCAGCCGCGGUAAGACGAAGGAUGCAAGCGUUAUCCGGAUUCAUUAGGUUUAAAGGGUGCGUAGGCGGGCUUGUAAGUCAGUGGUGAAUUCUCUCAGCUUAACUGAGAAACUGCCAUUGAUACUGCAGGUCUAGAGUAUAGAUGACGUUGGCGGAAUAUGACAUGUAGUGGUGAAAUACUUAGAUAUGUCAGAGAACACCGAUUGCGAAGUCAGCUAACUAAACUAUACCUGACGCUGAG